rnacentral:misc_RNA from 1 species
GCAGGGUGCAUCUAACAAAUACAAGGAACCUCAUUAUCUGGCAACUCUGACAUUAGGAUCCUGAAGCAUCAUCCUCUGGAGAUGAAUCCUUUGAUGCUUGCUCAUCAUCAUCCUCUUCUUCAUCCUCAUCAUAAUCCAUAGGAGUAGGGUGUCCAUUAAGAUCAACAUUUACACCAUCAACCUUUCGCACGAACUGCCCCCGCACACGAGGCCUCCUUUCAGCAAGCUUUUU